CGGGUGAGUAAUACAUCGGAACGUGUCUUCUAGUGGGGGAUAACUGCCCGAAAGGGCAGCUAAUACCGCAUGAGACCUGAGGGUGAAAGCGGGGGAGUCGCAAGACCUCGCGCUGGAAGAGCGGCCGAUGUCCGAUUAGCUAGUUGGUGAGGUAAAGGCUCACCAAGGCGACGAUCGGUAGCUGGUCUGAGAGGACGACCAGCCACACUGGGACUGAGACACGGCCCAG
rnacentral:rRNA from 1 species